UUGUAGAUGUCUCCAUUCAAGUCUUUACGAUUCUACUCGUUCUUGGGAGCUGCUGUUAAUGCAGAAACUAGAGGAAGUUGGAAGCUCUGUCAAGAUGUUGUACCGAAUGAUGCAUGGGCUGACCCGUGUCAUACCCUGUUGUUAAAGAGAAUGUGAAUGACUUGUCGAACCCUGUUGUUGCUGCCAAAGAGCGGGUGAAACGCUGGAAUCAAAUCACCGCUGAACUCCUGAGUGAGGAGAAUAGAGGUGGCAUCAGGUUCAUCGAUCUACUUAUAGUGGGAGCUUGUUCUUUUGAUGUUUAUUGCUCCGAGCAUGUCUGGAACAGGUCUUCUGCAUCCUUCUUCUUUUCGUAGGAGAAAGAUCUUUAUGUGAACGUCGGUCGUUUAAUCAAGUAUUUGGUUGUGUGGAGAUCAGAUAAGCAUUGAUUGUUUGAAUAUUCUUUGAAAUGAAGAUAAAUAAGUAUCUUAGAAUUGA